rnacentral:lncRNA from 1 species
CAAGGACGCACAUAGGACCUCUUUGCAUCCCAAGCACUACGGCACCAGCCAGAGGCAGCUCCUGCGGCUGCAGCUAACCCUCCUGGCUUCUGAGCAAGGCUGGGAGGGGCUUUGCUUUUUUCCGCUCAUCCACCCGAUGAUGAUGAACGGCCUUUCUCCUGCCAGAGCGCAGCACAGGAGGCUGUGUUGCAACGGGCACGCACAAAUCACCUGCUAAGGGCAUAAAUUUGUGUUCAGUAUAACGCUUGGCUUUCUGAUGUAUGCAGAACUGUAGGUGUAGUUGGCAAGCCUGAAGUCUCCUUUAUCUUCUGCAUUGUCUCACACCCCUCCUCCUUUGCCUUCUUCUACCAAAGCCGUUGAGAGAAUAUAUGCCUGUAUUUUGGAUCAGGAUGACAGAAAAUAAGGCUGGGGGAGUUGUGAGAGGUGCUACAAGCCAUCCUUUUCAUCCGCAGGCUAGAUCAGCUAAUCUUAUGCCAUUCCUGAGAGAUGCCUGGAGGUUCCUGG